rnacentral:rRNA from 1 species
GCUUGACUGUAGCUUGUAAUUGGGUUCGGGCUUUUUUUGCGCAGCCUAGGUGGGAGGCAACGAUGAUUUUUUUCCGGAAAAAUUUGAGCCGUUAGUGAGAGACCACUCUGAAAAGGCUAGAAUCCUAAUAAUGAUCCUUGAAUCAGGACAUUUGACAGUUGCAGGUGGGCAGUUUUACUGGGGCGGUAUUCUCCUAAAAAGUAACGGAGGGGUGCAAAGGUUCCCUCAAGCUGGACGGAAAUCAGCUUAAGAGUGUAAAGGCAAAAGGGAGCUUGACUGCAAGACCUACAAGUCGAGCAGGGGCGAAAGCCGGCCUUAGUGAUCCGACGGUACCACGUGGAAGGGCCGUCGCUCAACGGAUAAAAGUUAC